GGCUUCGUAGCUCACGUGGUAGAGCGUUUACAGCGUUUGAGCACGGUGUUUCUGUCGCUGGUUCGAAUCCAGCCGAAGCCC